rnacentral:rRNA from 1 species
GACGAACGCUGGCGGCGUGCCUAAUACAUGCAAGUGGGACGCAAGGGAACACACUGUGCUUGCACACCGUGUUUUCUUGAGUCGCGAACGGGUGAGUAACGCGUAGGUAACCUGCCUAUUAGCGGGGGAUAACUAUUGGAAACGAUAGCUAAUACCGCAUAAUAUUAAUUAUUGCAUGAUAAUUGAUUGAAAGAUGCAAGCGCAUCACUAGUAGAUGGACCUGCGUUGUAUUAGCUAGUUGGUAAGGUAAGAGCUUACCAAGGCGACGAUACAUAGCCGACCUGAGAGGGUGAUCGGCCACACUGGGACUGAGACACGGCCCAGACUCCUACGGGAGGCAGCAGUAGGGAAUCUUCGGCAAUGGACGAAAGUCUGACCGAGCAACAGCCUGCUGUGAUG